rnacentral:rRNA from 1 species
GUGGGGAAUAUUGGGCAAUGGGGGAAACCCUGACCCAGCAACGCCGCGUGAGGGAAGAAGGUUUUCGGAUUGUAAACCUCUGUCCUUGGUGACGAAGGAAGUGACGGUAACCAAGGAGGAAGCCCCGGCUAACUACGUGCCAGCAGCCGCGGUAAUACGUAGGGGGCAAGCGUUGUCCGGAAUGACUGGGCGUAAAGGGCGUGUAGGCGGCCGAUUAAGUCUGGAGUGAAAGUCCUGCUUUCAAGGUGGGAAUUGCUUUGGAGACUGGUUGGCUUGAGUGCGGAAGAGGUAAGUGGAAUUCCCAGUGUAGCGGUGAAAUGCGUAGAGAUUGGGAGGAACACCAGUGGCGAAGGCGACUUACUGGGCCGUAACUGACGCUGAGGCGCGAAAGCGUGGGGAGCGAACAGGAUUAGAAACCCCUGUAGUCC